rnacentral:tRNA from 1 species
GCCCUCGUAGCUCAGUCGGCAGAGCACGCUCCUCGUAAGAGCGAAGUCGGCGGUUCGAUUCCGCCCGAGGGCUCCA